AAAAACAAAACCCAUUUCGCGGUUCUCUUUCUCCUUCCCAUUUCCCGUGUCUGUUCAGUCGUCACUCAUCACUGAUCGAAACAAAGCAAAUACGCAAAUUCACAACACGAAUCACUGAACCCAUCAAUUUCCCAUUUCCAUUCUUUCCUCAACAAUCCACCUAGAACAAGAAGAACAAGAAGAAGAAUAACAACAAGAAGAAAGGGAUCUCCUUUCUUCCCACAUUCCCUUAAUCUGAUUUUGCCCCCCACCCAAAUGGAUUCACGGGAGAGGUCGAUGCCUUCUGUUCAUCAACAUCAUCAACAAUCAACUCCACCCAACAGGAUGAUCCCCAACAACGCUUCUUAUUCCGCUAAUAUGCCAAAUUCCAACAAUACUUCCCCUUUGAUCAACCCCAAUUCCGCUGCUGCUCAAAUGAUGUCUUCCGCUUCCCGAUUUCCCUUCAACUCCAUGAUGGGUUCCUCUUCUAAGCCUUCCGAAUCUCCCAAUGCAGCUUCUUAUGAUGGAUCCCAGUCUGAAUUGCGUACUGGUGGCUUUAACAUUGAUUCUGGGAAGAAGAAGAGAGGCCGUCCCAGGAAGUAUUCUCCUGAUGGGAAUAUCGCCUUGGGUUUAUCACCAACCCCCAUCACUUCUUCCGCCGUUCCUGCCGAUUCCGCCGGCAUGCACUCCCCAGAUCCUCGCCCUAAGAAGAACAGAGGACGGCCGCCCGGUACAGGGAAGAAGCAAAUGGAUGCUUUGGGGACCGGCGGUGUUGGUUUUACUCCUCAUGUCAUUCUUGUGAAACCAGGAGAGGACAUUGCCUCAAAAGUUAUGGCAUUUUCACAGCAGGGGCCACGGACUGUUUGUAUUCUCUCUGCCCAUGGGGCUGUCUGCAAUGUUACCCUUCAACCCGCAUUGUCAUCUGGUAGUGUGUCAUACGAGGGCCGCUAUGAAAUCAUAUCUCUAUCAGGUUCCUUUUUGAUUUCUGAAAAUAAUGGUAAUCGGAGUCGAAGUGGUGGUUUAAGUGUGUCUCUAGCAAGUGCAGAUGGACAAGUUCUUGGUGGAAUUACCAACAUGCUAACGGCAGCAUCGACAGUUCAGGUUAUAGUUGGUAGCUUUCUUGUGGACGGGAAAAAGCUAGGAGCCAGUAUACAGAAAUCUGGGCCAUCGUCUACAUCUCCUAAUAUGUUAAACUUUGGUACACCCGUGGCAGCAGGCUGCCCCUCUGAAGGCGCAUCAAAUAAUUCAUCCGACGACAAUGGUGGUAGCCCUUUAAGCCGGGGGCCUGGAAUGUACACCAAUGCCAACCAACCAAUUCAUAAUAUGCAGAUGUAUCAACAACUAUGGGCUAGCCGAAAUCAAUAAUGAAGCUGCUUUGCUCAACUUAACAGUGUAGUGCAUUGGGUGUCGAAGUGGUUAGUGUUUUGCAUCCCGAUGUAUAGAGGUAGCUCUUGAAGCAAACGACGAAUUACUAUGGUCAUCCAUCAUAUAUCAUAUUGUGUCUAAUCAUUUGCAUUUCAUUUGCUACUGACCCUAUUAGACUUGUAAAAUUUGCAUUUGAAAUCAUAGAUUGUUCCCUAAUUGUGUACCAAUUGAAUGCCGAACAUAGACCUUCACUAUUAUUAUGUAUGUCGUUUUGUACCCAAGCUAACGAACAAUGGUUACAUGAUGAUAACCUUUUUUUAUACU